rnacentral:lncRNA from 1 species
CGAAUGCUACCUUCUUGGCCUUUAUUUUUCUUUGUUACUUCCUUGCUUUGGGCUUAGCGGAAACACGAUAAGAAGUAGUGAGAAUGAUGUGAUUUGAUUGCACGUGUUGAGAAUGACGUGGCUUUGAGUUUUUUUUCUUCUACGGGUGACAAGGGUCCAUCCUUAGUCAUUUAAGCUACCCGACUCUAUUCCAUUAUCAUCAUUGCCCCCAUUUAUAGAUGGCAGCAUUGCUAGAGCAGGAGAUGCUAGGUCAACUGAGUCAAUCGAUCCAAAUUGAAUUUUUGAUCUUUGCAAUAUAGGAAUAAGUCUUUCAAGCUUUUGAGUCUCUUUGCGGAGGAGUAUAGGAUCAAAGGAUCCAAAGACAAUGGCAGUUUGGUUAGUAGUUGCCAAUUCUUUUUCUUCUUCCAGCAUAAUCUUCCUUUGGCUGGCUAAUCCUAAAAUUAUUUCUUUCAACACAAAAAUACGUUGAGUAGAGUGGAUGACCCAACGAUGUGAUACUUUGCCAAUAGUUGGAGGAUCAUUAACCUUUUCAGCAUUACUAGGUCGCCUCUCUCUGGGAGCAAUGACUUUCAAUUCUAUAGUUGAUAAGCAUUUUUUUGGAGACAUCAGCGUCAGGAAAAGGGUACUCUUUAUUUGCAUCUUUAUAGUGUGAGCUUUUUCUUCUAUUUUCUGGGGUAGAAGUAGCUUUUUUUGCUUCUUCCUUUUGGACUUGCGAGAUCUGACCAGUGCAUUGAUUAUGUUCAUUGAAAUCUUUGGUAUUGGCUUGGAGAAAGGCUUCUUACCCCCUUUUGAUUGUUGGGUUUAAUUUCUCCUUUAUGGAGAUUCUUGAAAAAGUAGUCCUUGACUUCCAUUUGCAAGCACAAUGUGAGUUCCAUAUCAUUUGCUUGCGUAGCCAGUUCUUCAAAGGUUAUAGGUUUGAUUCCUUGAAGGAAUAUAAGCAACCCCAGUGCAUGCCUUGAAUGCACAUCUCAAUUGGCCAGACGUCUCAUAUAACCUAUCCUGUAAUUCAGGCACAAGUUUCUCCAUCGAUAAUGUAAUCGAUGCCCGUUUCAUCUUUCCAUGCAAGAACUAUAAGCUCGUCAUACUAACAGUCGAGAGUGCUCUAACGAUUCAGAAAAUCUUGUUCUACUGCUCCCAACAUCAAUUAUACGAGGCUUCAAGAUCGCAAUACCAACAAAGCCAUUGCCUUGCGUGUACGACAAAUUGCCUUGAAUGAGAAGAUCUACAAUUAGUUCCAGAUUUAUUGCACGUUUUCACAAAAUGGGCGAUAGGUUGUUUAGGAUACCUUGCAUUGAAUUGCUGAUUGAAAUGAAAUGAAAUUCGGUGUGAUAUGGUGUAACCCAUAGACAUCUUCAGUUGAUCGAUACUUUGAGUGUAGGGCUUAAAUGAGAGAAAGAGAAGAUUUCGGUGAUUGUUAGUGGAGAAAGAUUUUAGGAGUUCCCUUAUCUUGAUAGCGCCUAGAAUGUGAUUUACUUUAGUGGUCGACAGCGAUGAUCAAUCAGCCAAAACUUAUAAGUUAUCUAAGUCUCUUGUGGUUUGGUAGAAGACCAGGAAUCUUGUAAUUUUGGAGGGUUGUCAGCAGCUUGGGCUCAAAUAUGUGGGCAUAACUAAACAUUUUAUUCAAAUUACUUUUUCUAAACAUUUUUGGAUAGACAAUUCUAGUGUUUCUAAAUAUAUCUCAUCCAAAUGAUCAGCUCCUUCCUUUAUUCCUAGAAUUUUGAUAGUGUGAAAAUUAAAAACCUCUGUUAUUCUCCGUUUCAUGUCGUUGAUAGAACCAAUUACUUCUUGACAAAAAAAAAAUCGAAAAAUUAUUUUUUUCAAGGUUAUCAAACUUUAAUCACUGCAAUUCGGCUCAUUUUCAAGCACAACUCUUAAAAGUAACUUUAAUAUUUAACUUGAAAAUAUAUAAACCCUAACGCAUUGAUUUUAACUUGAAAAUGAGCCAUAAUUUUAUUGAUUAAGGCUUUAAGGGGUAAUAAUUUUGAUUUGUUUUUAAUAUUUUUGGCAAGAAUCAGUUGGUGUGUCAAACUUAAUGAAACAGAGCUAGAGAUCACGGCGACUAGGAUUUUAAUUGUGACAAGAUCAAAAUUGCACGGUUUAAUUGGUUACAAUGAAAACUAUAAAAUUUAAUUGGUUAUUGAGAUCAACUUAAUUUCCCCUUCUUGAAUAUUUGUUUAGUUUUGAAUAAGUUGAACAAGAUCAAAUUGCUAAGUAACUAACAAAGCAAAUCCAUGGGUGAUUCAUUGAUAAGCAAUACCAUACAAUAUCAUAUAAUCGGUUAAGAAUUUUUCCACUGUAAUAGCGUAUUUUUCCCAAAUCAAAUAACAUUUCAAAUAACACCAAUUAGUGGAAGCGAAUGAAUAGAUAGGUUUCUGUAAAAACCAUUCUCUUUAAUUGGUUUUAGUACUCCUGACAAAUAAUAGGUAUACGAAAUUAAUUUUCCUUUCUUUCUUGAAUAUCUAGAUCCAAACAGUAUAAAACUACACGGUGAUUAAUGAAUAUUUGUGCACAUAUAUUUUUUUAUUUUGUUGGUCCAACUAUAAUAAUCUUGGUGACUUCAAAAAUAUGUAUGAGUGUCUUAAAGAGUGAUCAUAAGCUAAUAGACUUCUUUCAUUAAACUGCACGCUAUUUAAACCAUUAGAAGAUUAACAUACGUUUAUUAGUUAUCAUCAAAAUCAAGGCAUGGAGUCAACAAUCUCUCCCUUUUUAAUGAUGACAAAACAUUUGCAAAAUGAACAUGAUAUUGAAGAGUAAAAUAUCAUACCAAAAAAUUGCUCCCCAUUUCUUUUGUAAUUUAGUAAUAUAUGUUCCUAAUAGUAAGAAGGGUUUAUUUUCUCUUGCUCUUGAUAUAAAAAAAACUCAAAGGCAAUUCCCUAUUUGCAAAAAAAUAUAACGAUCCUAAGAAUUCCAUUCUUCUUCUUCCCCUAUCAACGUGAAUUCUACUUAAUUGUUAUCCUAUUCUAUCUAGGAAAACAUAUCAUAACUUAAGGCCAACUCAAGAGUCUAAGCCGAUUCAAGAAUUCUAAUCUUGUUAAGACUACUACUCCCACAUGAACACUCUAUGUAAGCCAACUAGGCUUGGGCUCAAAUAUUUUGGCUUAACUAAACUUUUUAUUCAAAUUACUUUUUAUAAACAUUUUUGGAUAGACAAUUCUAGUGUUUCUAAAUAUAUUCUCAUUCCAAAUAUUGACCAAUCUUCCUUUAUUCCUAGAAUUUUGAUAGAGUAAAAAUUAAAAACCUCUGUUAGUCUCUAUUUCAUGUCGUUGAUAGAACCAAUUACUUCUUGACAAAAAAAAUCGAAAAAAUUAUUUUUUUCAAGGUUAUCAAACUUAACACUGCAAAUUCGGCUCCAUUGUCAAGCACAACUCUAAAAGUAACUUUAAUAUGUUAACUUGAACAAUAUAAACCCUAACGCAUUGAUGCUUAAACUUGAAAAUAGCAUAAUUUUAUUGAUUAGGCUUUAAGGCGGGUAAUAAUUUUGAUUUGUUUUUAAUAUUUUUGGCAAGAAUCAGUUGGUUUUGUAACUCUAAUGAAACAGAACCUAGAGACUCACAGGCCGACAUAGGAUUUUAAUUGUGACAAGAUCAAAAUUGCACGGUUUAAUUGGUUACAAUUGAAACUAUAAAAUUUAAUUUGUUAUUGAGAUCAAACUUAAUUUCCCUGUGAAUAUUUUGUUUAGUUUUUAAUAAGUUGAACAAGAUCAAAUUGUAAAGUAACCAACAGAUGCAAAUCCAUGGGUGGAUUCAUUGAUAAGCAAUACCAUUGUUCAUAUAAUCGAUUAAUGAAUUUCCCACUGUAAUAGCAGUAUUUCUUCCCACAAUCAAAUACAUUUCAAAUAACACCAAUAUGUGGAAAGAGAAUGAAUAGAUAGGUUUCUGUAAAACCAAUUCUCUUUAAUUGUUUUAGUUACUCAUGACAAAUUAAUAGGUAUAGAUAAUUAAUUUUCCUUUCUUUCUUGACAUAUCCUAGAUCCAAACACGGUGAUUAAUGAAUAUUUUGCACAUAUAUUUUUUUAUUUUUAAAAAAAUAGAUUGAUUGGGCAUUGGUACAAAGACUAUUGAAUAACGUUUCUCUAGACAGAAAGCAUGAUUUUCAAAAUAGAAUGUUUACUAUUUUUUAAGACAAAACAAUUUUAAUAACGUAGGUUUGGACAGCCGAUCAAUUUAAUUAUGUGCUUGAAUAAUCUUAUCAGCAAAAACAAUAAGGCUAACGAUUUGAUCACCAAGAUGGACCCUAGGUGGCUCCACAAUAAAUCAACUUUGGCAGAUUAUUUUUAUGGAUCAUGCUAAUCAAAAACACAGUGGUUAAAGAACAUAAAAUGCCAAAAAAAUAUUUUUUUAAUAACAUAAUGAUGUCCGUACAUACAAUAUAUCCAUUGUAAAACUUCAAAAGAAUGAUGUUACGAUGAUAUUUUGGUAAAUAAAAAUAUGAGUAUUUGGUUAGGAGUUGAGAUAACAAUAUUCUGUGACAUCAUUUUAUAUAAAAAUUAUGUAUAAAUUAUCUAUUUGUAUACCAUUUUUAUUUUUAAUACACAUUUUACAUAGUUCAAUACUCCUUUCAUCCUCUUUUAAUUUCCACUAUUCUUGUUUUUUGUUCUUAAGUAAUUAUCCUCUUUUUACUUUUGAUAGAUUAAAAUGCACUAGCAUUCUCCUUUUAUCGUUCCCUUCUUAAAUUCAAAUAAUGAAGUUAAAACUCGAAGUUCCAAUAAAGUACAAUAAAUAACAAAACUAGAUAAAGAAAAUAAAACUAUAAAUGCAUUAAAUGUUAAACAAACUUUAUUACAUUAUCAAAAAAAUGAAGAGUUAAACAUGAAAAUGAAUAUAUAUUAAAGGAAAAAUUAAAAAAGUGAAAAAAAUCUUUAAAAAAUUGAAUUUCUAAAAAGAGACAAACAAAAAGAGACGGAGGAAGGGAGUAUAAUUUUACACAUUUCAAUAUAUUUUUUAUAACUUAUCACCCACGGUUUUCAGUCAACAUUUUCCUUAUUUUAAACCUUAGAUGUG